rnacentral:misc_RNA from 1 species
CCUGAAGCUCGCUUCUUAUCAAAAGAUCCCACACUUCCGGAAUCAUUACGAAUUGACACGGAAGAAUUACUUAUACAGAAACUUGAAACGAUACAAGAAAUUGUUACUCAAGUCGAAUAAGAUAGACGAAGCUGAACUUUGCGAUGGUAUGCCGCUGACAUUCGAACUACCAAACGAUUAUAGGCUAUUCGCGGAGGAGUAUCACAAGCAACCUGGUUCCACGUGGAUCGUGAAACCUGCAGGAAGAUCGCAGGGCAAAGGAAGCUGAAGGACCUAUCGGAGUGGCGUAGCAAAGAAUUCGGCCAGCAAGUGGAAAUACCACCGGUGGAGACUUUCAUCGUGCAGAAAUACGUGGAGAAUCCUUACCUCCUGGCAGGCAGAAAAUUCGAUCUACGUAUCUACACCCUGGUAACCUCAUUUUGCCCUCUGAAAGUUUGGUUGGCUAGAGAGGGUUUCGCACGGCUGUCGGGCGAGCUGUUCGAUCUGGAGAACAUAGACGACAGCAGGGUGCAUCUCACUAAUAUGGCGAUACAGCUGAAGAUACACGAUGAUGACGAUAAGAAGGGGGAAUUGAAAAGAGGCUUGCCGCUCUUAGCUGCCGGCGAAUUCUCAACGAUGUCGUAGAUGACGUGCGGCAAACCCGCGGUACCGAGGAGCGAGAACCCGAAUCCGGACGAGUCGCCGCGGUUCAGGGUGACCACCAGCUCCUCAGCCAUGUUUCGAGCACAUUGA